rnacentral:rRNA from 1 species
ACCGGCAGCUCAAGUGGUGGCCAUUUUUAUUGGGCCUAGAGCUCGUGGACGGUUUGAUAAGACUCUGGGGAGAUAUCGCAGAUUAAAUGUGGGACUUGCUGGAGAUACUAUUAGACUUGAGGUCGGGAGAGGUUAGGGGUACUCCCAGGGUAGGGGUGAAAUCCUAUAAUCCUGGGAGGACCACCUGUGGCGAAGGCGCCUAACUGGAACGAACCUGACGGUGAGUAACGAAAGCCAGGGGCGCGAACCG